GACGUGCGCAGGCGGUUAGUUGUAAGUCUGAUGUGAAAUCCCCGGGCUCAACCUGGGAAUUGCAUUGGAGACUGCAAGGCUAGAAUCUGGCAGAGGGGGGUAGAAUUCCACGUGUAGCAGUGAAAUGCGUAGAUAUGUGGAGGAACACCGAUGGCGAAGGCAGCCCCCUGGGUCAAGAUUGACGCUCAUGCACGAAAGCGUGGGGAGCAAACAGGAUUAGAUACCCGAGU
rnacentral:rRNA from 1 species